AAGUAGUAAAACCUUAAAGUCACAUCUGAAGUGCACAGGAAGCCAGUGCAGGUGAGCCAGUACAGGCGUAAUGUGAUCAAACUUUCUUGUUCUUUUCAAAAGUCUAGCAGCCGCAUUUUGUACCAACUGUAAUCUUUUAACGCUAGACAUGGGGAGACCCGAAAAUAAUACGCAGUCCUCUCCAAGGUUUCUCAUAGUCAUCAUUGUCACCGACGUCCCACUGGGUGUGAGUUUUCCUUGCCCUUAUGUGGGCCUACCGAGGAUGUCGUUGUGGUUUGUACAGCCCGUUGAGACACUAGUGAUUUAGGGCUAUAUAAAUAAUCAUUGAUUGAUUGGCGACCAAAAGUUGCUAACUUUAUCGUCGAUGUUCUCUACUAAAUCCUUUCGGCAAAAAUAUGUAUGCCUUUAACAAGCGAUGUGCAUCAGUUUUUGAGACAACACCGGUAUGGGCGGCUGACAUCCAUACGUCCAUGGACCAGGACCAGGACCAGCACCAGGACCAGCACCAGGACCAGUUCUACGUUGACACGGCCCGGUGAACCCUGCCUCCCCCGCCCCGCCCCCACACGGCAAGUGUUACCUGUAGCGUCGUAAUGUGUUUGUCGUUGAAUUUGUUCUCGCAGUAUCGCAGCACCAUGGACGUCUUGCCCACGCAGCCUUCCCCCAGCAGCACCACCUUGAAGGAGAAGCUUUUGCCGCCGCCCGCUGCCGCCAUGGCGGCCACUCGCUGUGUCACAACAAGCUAGCUGCUAAUGCUAAGGCUAAGGCGCCUCCUGCGUCGCUCACAUCAGCUCGGGGGGGGAAAUAGCCGAGAAAUGAAGAAACACGCGUCGACACCUGAGGUGGAACACCGAAAUAGACAUGUAGGACGUACACUCAAAGCCAGGUGGUGUUGUCGUCAGUCUGACGUGAACGGCUGAUUUUCACCAACGAAUGGCGUCUCUUUGACUUAGCUCCAG